GACGAACGCUGGCGGCGUGCCUAAUACAUGCAAGUAGAACGCUGAAGAGAGGAGCUUGCUCUUCUUGGAUGAGUUGCGAACGGGUGAGUAACGCGUAGGUAACCUGCCUUGUAGCGGGGGAUAACUAUUGGAAACGAUAGCUAAUACCGCAUAACAAUGGAUGACACAUGUCUUUUAUUUGAAAGGGGCAAUUGCUCCACUACAAGAUGGACCUGCGUUGUAUUAGCUAGUAGGUGAGGUAUGGGUCCACCAAGGGCAGCUACAAAGCCGGACCGGGAGGGGGAUCGGGCACACUGGGAACGGGACACGGCCCAGACCCCCACGGGAGGGAGCAGGAGGGAAUCUUCGGCAAUGGGGGGAACCCUGACCGAGCAACGCCGCGGGAGUGAAGAAGGGUUUCGGAUCGGAAAGCUCUGUUGUAAGUCAAGAAAGGGUGGGAGAGUGGAAAGUUCACACUGUGACGGUAGCUUACCAGAAAGGGACGGCUAACUACGUG
rnacentral:rRNA from 1 species